GCUCUGAGAAGACCCAGGAAUUACAACUCCCAGCCUGCCCCGGGGCUCUUUCGCCCUCUCGAGCCCAGGCUGCAGCGUAACAUCCAUGUUUUGCUCCAGCUCAUUCUGUCCUUCCAGGGACCAGGGAAAGGAAAUGGCUACAGUGGAGCUAUUUGAGGGGCCAAUGGCCUUCGAGGAGGUGGCUGUGUAUUUCAGCG